rnacentral:lncRNA from 1 species
UAUUUUCAUGUCAUAAACGAUCCAAAGGGGUACCAAUUAUUUGUAAAUAUAAAUAGACCUUUCUAGAGCUUAUUUUCACCCGUAAAAUCAUUUCACCAGUUUCUUUCCACGAAUACCGAGAGAAACCGAGCGGUGUUCUUCGUGUUCUUCAUAAUCAAACGAAGAUUUGAAGGUGUUAUUGGAGUCAGAAUCAAGCGUGCAAAUAGUCAAAUCGAAGAUAUCGAAGAGUAGAACCCAAAUCAAUCAUCAAAAACAACAUGAGAUUCACAGGUAGGGAGUAAUUGAAGUUUUAAAAUUCGAAUUAUUAUGAUUUAAAUAGUGAAUUUUUGCAAACGUGGUUGUUUGAUUGUUUUGAUGAUUCCAUGUUGUAGUACGUGCUUUUCUCGUCGUUUUGGUAUAUUAUAUGUUGAAUUUUGAGUUCGGAAUCAUAUAGAAACAGUGGUUUAAUUCUUGAGUUGAGUGUUCUUGGUGUUCUUGAGGUUCCUCGCCGGAAAACUCAAGCUCUUCGCCGGAAUUUUGAUCCGUUAAGUCUGGGAAGUAGUGGAAUAUAUGAAUAGAAAGAGGAGAGAAAGGGGAGUAUGCUGGUGUGCUUGGUUUGAGCGGAGGUGGCUCGAAUCGCCGCCAUCGGCGGCGGGAAGUCGCCGACUUCGGCCGGAUUUUCCGGCGAAUUCGCGCGACUUCUGCCUAAUUAAAGAUGGGGGAUUGAUUUAUGGGUGUGUGUACUACUUAUCUGGAGUAGAUGGUGAGUGGAGGACGCCUGGAAACGAAUUUCCGGCGAGUUAGUGUGGUGGCCGGCGGCUUAUUGCUGUUUGGUCACCGAAGUUUUGAAGAUGAUGAAGUUUUUGUACUCAGGUUUUGAAACUUGUGAAUUACCCCCUGUAACUUUGAAAAAUUGCACUUUAAACCCUGGACAAAACUUUCAAAAGUUUACACUUUAAACCUUUGAUUUUAAUUUUCAAAAAUUGUUUUAUUUAAUUAUUUUAAUUUCAAUAAAAUGCUUUUUAAUUAUUUCUUUAUUCAAAAAUAAAUCUAAAUUAGUUUGUUAAUUAAUUUUAAUUAGUAAUUAAUUAUUUAAUUGGUCAAUUAAUUUAAAUAUUAAUUGAUUAAUUAUUUUAAUUAAUUAUUAAUUGAUUUUAAUUGAUUAAUUAAUUGGAUUUAAUUAAUCCUUUUUGAUUUAAAAAUUCCGAAAAAUAGUUUCGAGCUUUAAAAUAUUUUUCCAAAUUAUUUUCAAGGCUCGAUAAUUGUUUAUGAAUGAUUUCAAGUCCAAUUUCAAGUAUUUGGGACUUGAUUAUUUAUCCGAAAAGUGAUUCUUUUAUCGAUUUUAAUUCCGAAAAAUGUUUAAAAAUUCCAGAAAAUUCCCGAAAAAUCAUUUUUAACCCAAGACUUGAUUUAAUAUCAAUUGGGAUGGGAAACCUUAUAUGUUGUGUGUUGUCUGCUAUUGGUUGGAUGUGUUAUGUGCCGAUAGGAGAGUGAGAAAACUGUUUUGAGCAUAACUUUUGAUCCGUAAGUCGGAAUCAAGUGAAACGAAAGAGAGACAGAAGCUUAUAACGUCUAUUUUAAUAUGAUGUGACUAUAUGGCUGAGUCUAUAAGGUGAAUAAUUGUUGAUAAGUAUGCAUAAUGUGAUAAUAUGUGAUCUAAGUGCUAUCAGGUGAUGAUUAUGUGAAGUACGUGUUAGUUUUGAUAUUGUGAAGUGAUAAAUGAUUCGUAUGAUUGAUAUUGGAUAAGAAUAUAUGGAUUAUAGCUAUUGGAUUUUGUUGGUUGAUUAAUGAUUGGGAUAAGAUAAUAGGUGGAUAGUCUUAUACAUAGACGAGACGAUGUCGGAUUUUCGAUAAGGAUUUAUAUGAUAAUUGAUUGGUGAUAUGUUAUGUGGAAUAUGAUUGACUAUAUGUUAGAGUCAAAGCAUGCUUAUGUGUUACGUGGUAUCUGAUAAGUUUAAAGGGAUAUAUAAGUGGGUAUCGAUAUACGUGAUAUGUAUAUGCGAUAUAUUGUUUAGUGACUAUAGUAUUAUCUUAUUCUCGUAAAGGAUUUGGACGAGACGUGUACGCUCGAAGACGUCAGGAAGUCGAAAUGGUAUUGCAAAGCGAAUAAGGGAUGAAUCGAGUAAGCGAAGCGAUGUGGCGAAUAGAGUA